GUGACUGGGAUGGAGAGGGAGUGUCCUAGUAAAUCAGGUUGCAGGAGGGGGUCACAGAAAAGGCCUCAGAGGAACAGGAGGGAUUCUGCAACAGAUGGAGAGGUCCGAGUUAGUAAGCACUGAGGAGGGGAGGUCUGUGGAAGUUUUCUUGGGAGUCCUGAGGUGUAACGAGAAGGUCGGAGGGCGGACAGACAGGGAGAUGAGAUGCAGAUGGAAUACAGGUGAGGUGCUGGAUGUCCCAAAAGGGGAGGACCCACAGCCACAGAUGGAAAACCUCCAGACACUCCCACAGACCGUAACAAAAACGUGGUUUCACAGAACUCCAAACAGUUUGGUGUUUUUAUUUUGAUACCCACACUGAUUGCCAUAAA